AAGGGGAAGAAGAUAGAAGCAAAGGGGGAAAAACAAGCUAACUUCUCCAAUUCACCAUCUAAGGUCAGGAGGCGAAGACCGUGCAAUCGGUUUUGGAAACCCACUGUGAGCACUCUGGGAGUCAAGCCUAGGCGGAGUCCGAGCUGAGCCGCCGUUUUGAAGCCUACCCGGUGUUUUGGUGCCUCCGAGAUGGGGCUAGGCCUCGAAGGCCAUUAGGAAGC